rnacentral:rRNA from 1 species
GUCAAGAGAGGGCCGGCGGCGCAGGUAGUGCGUGUGGGGCAAGCGUAAAUCGGAAUUAAUGGGCGGUGAUCGUGGUCAGGCGGUUAUAUAAGACAGAUGUUAAAUCCCCGGGCUCAACCUGGGAACGGCAUUUGUGACUGUAUAGCUAGAGUACGGCAGAGGGGGAUGGAAUUCCGCGUGUAGCAGUGAAAUGCGUAGAUAUGCGGAGGAACACCGAUGGCGAAGGCAAUCCCCUGGGCCUGUACUGACGCUCAUGCACGAAAGCGUGGGGAGCAAACAGGAUUAGAUACCCUAGUAGUC